GACGAACGCUGGCGGCGUGCUUAACACAUGCAAGUCGAACGGAAAGGCCCUGCUUUUGUGGGGUGCUCGUGUGGCGAACGGGUGAGUAAACAGUUAGUAACCUGCCCUUGACUUUGGGAUAACUUUAGGAAACCGGGGCCAAAACCGGAUAGGAGUUCCUGCUGCCUGGUGGGGGUUGGAAAGUUUGGGCGGCUGGGGAUGGACUGGUGGCUCAUCAGCGAGUUGGCGGGGUAGUGGCGUACCAAGGUAUUGACGGGUAGCCGGCCUGAGAGGGUGACCGGCGUCAAUACGACUAAGGUAGGGCGCAGAAGCCUACGGGAGGCAGCAGUGGGGAGUAUGGCGCAGCAAGGGGAAGCCGGAUGAGGCAGCGCCGCGUGCGGGAUGACGGGCUUCGGGGUGUAAACCACUUUCUCCUGUGACGAAGAGUGAGUGACGGUAACGGGUAAAGAAGCACCGGCUAACUACGUG
rnacentral:rRNA from 1 species